AGUAACGGGCGCAGAUGUGUACGACCAGCUAUGCCUCUCAGUUUUCCCAAGCUGUAGAGCAAAGAUAAGCCUGAAUAGCUUCAUUCUGGAGUAAGAUAUCACACAGGCAAUGGCGAAGACAGAAGUCAACUCUGCUGCUUGGGAAAAUGAUAUUCCCCAAAGGAAACUCCAAGAAUCUUCUUCUUUUAAGCAGGAGCUGAGACUCUGUUUCAAGCUGUUUUUCCAGGAUCACCAGGACUCUGAGAUACUAAAACGUAAUCACGAGCAGUCAUGCAUGAUUUGAGACAUUUGGCUCCUGGCAUCAGUAAAUGCCCAGUACUGCAGCAUAAAGACCAGCUGGGGAACUCUUCACGCAAGUUCUGUGAACAAAAGAACGUGCUGCCUUCCUUUGGCAGCAGGUAAUUCACUGCAUAUUGUUAGUUUGUGUGCUGUUGAGAAAACAUAUUGCUGCCAUUCAGCUGCUCAGGAGCUCUAGUCGCUGCGCAGGGGAAUUCUAUACUGAAAACCUUCACAAAUUUUUCUUGGAGGUGGGCCAAAUGGAGCUGUGGUUGUUACUGGGUGCAAAUGCAGUGACUUUAUCCCAAGGUAUGCAGCGUCUGAGUCCUCCAAAUAAAUUCCUCCAUGCUCCCCUUAGGGAUGACCUAUCAGCCCAGACCAGAGAAUGCUUUUCCACCUUACCUCUGGAGGAGGCCACAGUCUCCUUCCCUCCCUCUGCAAUUUAAAAGUUAUACUUCUACCAAAUCAGGACAUACAGAUGGGGACCAUCCCAUGCAUCAUUUCCAGCUCUGACUUUUCUCAUUGUUUAAAGUCAGCUACAACUGAACUCGUUCUUUUUCUGCUCAACACAAGUAGAAACAAAUAUUAACGGUGUAAACAGUUACAAACAUUUACAAAAAAAAGAUACCCUUUGAAAUUCAUAGAAGCAAGCAAAUGGAUUUGACUGAACUUCACGCUUUCAGAAGCAUCUAAAAAUAGGUAGUGUCAGCUAUGCAAGAAUUUAAUGAGCAGUGGCCAGCAGAGAGAUCUGUCCAAUUUUGAAAGCGUCAGAGUGAGCAGAGGAAAUGACUGCAGGUCCAGAGAUCCAAGAAACUGAAGAUGAUCCUCCCCCUUCCCUUUUGAUUCAAGCACCCACAUACCUAUGGAGGAAAAGAGCUCCCUGAACUGAAGCAGACUGAAUACGUUGGAGACAGACGCCACGAUUCAAGCACAGGUUGAAAAGUACAUUUUGAAGCUCUGACAGCGCACGCUACGCAGAUCAUUCCACUUACAAGUGCUUAUUUGGGAUUUUUGAUGCCUGUUUUACCAUACAUUCUGAACAUACAGAUGAGAGAGCUGAGAGCACCAAGACCCUUCGGUUACCUUCCUCCUCGCAGCCACUUACAUUCUUUGAGGCACAGAGGUGGUCCCCCCCACCAUCCACAUAUGCAUUUCUUUAAUCCAUUACCAAAGGCAGAAUCAGACUGUUCUCCUCGCACUUGUAAACCUUCCUCCAGCAGCAAGGGAACUUUGCACUCCAACUAAAAACUUCAGGCAAGCAGAAGACGAUGCAUUUCUCUGCUUUCAGUGCUGGCAACCAAUGAAAAAAAGUUGCACCGAAGCCUUCUGAAUGAGGUUAUAAAGUGCUAUGAAAAUAACGCUGCCUCAAGGAAAGUCUUCCAACCUAUUUGCAAGCCUUCCCAGCCACAAGAAAUGAACCCAGAAACAACACAUGCUUAAUCUGUCAGUGCUGGAGAGAGAAAAAGGGUCUCAAAAAGCGUAAAAACUAUUAAACUGAAAGUGAAUGGAGCUAGCUAAAUCACCCCCAUCAAAGUGUUACGGGCACAUAAAGGCACACAGGUGAAGAGGCUAAUAAAAGUGCCGCUCC
rnacentral:lncRNA from 7 species